ACGAUAACGGCGUCGAGCGGCGGACGGGUGAGUAAUGCCUAGGAAAUUGCCCUGAUGUGGGGGAUAACCAUUGGAAACGAUGGCUAAUACCGCAUGAUGCCUACGGGCCAAAGAGGGGGACCUUCGGGCCUCUCGCGUCAGGAUAUGCCUAGGUGGGAUUAGCUAGUUGGUGAGGUAAGGGCUCACCAAGGCGACGAUCCCUAGCUGGUCUGAGAGGAUGAUCAGCCACACUGGAACUGAGACACGGUCCAGACUCCUACGGGAGGCAGCAGUGGGGAAUAUUGCACAAUGGGCGCAAGCCUGAUGCAGCCAUGCCGCGUGUGUGAAGAAGGCCUUCGGGUUGUAAAGCACUUUCAGUCGUGAGGAAGGUAGUGUAGUUAAUAGCUGCAUUAUUUGACGUUAGCGACAGAAGAAGCACCGGCUAACUCCGUGCCAGCAGCCGCGGUAAUACGGAGGGUGCGAGCGUUAAUCGGAAUUACUGGGCGUAAAGCGCAUGCAGGUGGUUUGUUAAGUCAGAUGUGAAAGCCCGGGGCUCAACCUCGGAAUUGCAUUUGAAACUGGCAGACUAGAGUACUGUAGAGGGGGGUAGAAUUUCAGGUGUAGCGGUGAAAUGCGUAGAGAUCUGAAGGAAUACCGGUGGCGAAGGCGGCCCCCUGGACAGAUACUGACACUCAGAUGCGAAAGCGUGGGGAGCAAACAGGAUUAGAUACCCUGGUAGUCCACGCCGUAAACGAUGUCUACUUGGAGGUUGUGGCCUUGAGCCGUGGCUUUCGGAGCUAACGCGUUAAGUAGACCGCCUGGGGAGUACGGUCGCAAGAUUAAAACUCAAAUGAAUUGACGGGGGCCCGCACAAGCGGUGGAGCAUGUGGUUUAAUUCGAUGCAACGCGAAGAACCUUACCUACUCUUGACAUCCAGAGAACUUUCCAGAGAUGGAUUGGUGCCUUCGGGAACUCUGAGACAGGUGCUGCAUGGCUGUCGUCAGCUCGUGUUGUGAAAUGUUGGGUUAAGUCCCGCAACGAGCGCAACCCUUAUCCUUGUUUGCCAGCGAGUAAUGUCGGGAACUCCAGGGAGACUGCCGGUGAUAAACCGGAGGAAGGUGGGGACGACGUCAAGUCAUCAUGGCCCUUACGAGUAGGGCUACACACGUGCUACAAUGGCGCAUACAGAGGGCGGCCAACUUGCGAAAGUGAGCGAAUCCCAAAAAGUGCGUCGUAGUCCGGAUUGGAGUCUGCAACUCGACUCCAUGAAGUCGGAAUCGCUAGUAAUCGUGGAUCAGAAUGCCACGGUGAAUACGUUCCCGGGCCUUGUACACACCGCCCGUCACACCAUGGGAGUGGG
rnacentral:rRNA from 1 species